GACGUAGGGGGCGAGCGUUGUCCGGAUUUAUUGGGCGUAAAGAGCUCGUAGGCGGCUCAGAAAGUCGGGUGUGAAACCUCCAGGCUCAACCUGGAGACGCCACCUGAUACUGCUGUGGCUAGAGUCCGGUAGGGGAACACGGAAUACCCGGUGUAGCGGUGAAAUGCUUAGAUAUCGGGUGGAACACCAGUGGCGAAGGCGGUGUUCUGGGCCGGAACUGACGCUGAGGAGCGAAAGCUAGGGGAGCAAACGGG
rnacentral:rRNA from 1 species